GUGUCAGCAGCCGCGGUAAUACGUAGGCAGCAAGCGUUGUUCGGAAUUACUGGGCGUAAAGAGUGUGUAGGCGGUGUUCCAAGUCUGGUGUGAAAUCUCCCGGCUUAACUGGGAGGGUGCAUUAGAAACUGGAAUGCUAGAGGAUGGGAGAGGUAAGCGGAAUUCCUGGUGUAGCGGUGAAAUGCGUAGAUAUCAGGAGGAACACCUGUGGUGUAGACAGCUUACUGGACCAUUUCUGACGCUGAGACACGAAAGCGUGGGUAGCAAACAGGAUUAGAUACCCUGGUAGUCC
rnacentral:rRNA from 1 species